UGCCGAAUCAGUUUCCUCCACACCCCCACUCAUGCGUCCGCCUUCAUCUCAUACAACAAUUCCAAACCAGCAGCAGCCAGCUUUGUUGCCUUCACCCGGUCAAGUCCAAAAUAUCAAUCCUGCACAACAGCAGCCAGUUCCCUCUUAUGCUCAGCAACCUGGAAAUUCAGUCUACCAGCGCCCUAUUAUGCAAGCAGUUCAACAACCGAUGCCUCAGCAGUAUUUCCACCAUCAGCCAUAUGUACAGCAGCAACCAUCUACACAGUUACGUCCCCAGAGCCAAUCUCAUCUGUUCCCUCAACAUAUUCAUGCCUCUACACAGUCUCAGGGCAUUCAACAUACUCAGUCUAAUCUUGUCGGAAGACCUAUGAUGCCAAGUCAUGGAGUACAACCUCAGCCUUAUGGACAAACUGCUGUUCAGGUGAGGCCAAUGCAUUCUUCUGUAAACCAUCCAUCUACAAAUCAGAAUAAUAUGGUCAGAACAAACAACCCAGUGCAAUCUGGAGCAAACUCAAGACCAACUAUGUCUGAGAGGCAAGCGGAGAAAGAAUCUGAGUCAUCAGGUCAGAAUGUUGCACAUGAUGCUGAAUUUAAAUCCGUGAAAUCUGAGAUGGGUAUGAAGUCCGUUGAUGAUGAGCAUAAACCUAGUGGUGGAGUUAAACCUAAUCAGGGGGAUACAUCUUUCAAGGAGAUUCCAGAGUCUAGGGGCUUGUCGGAGGCAGAUCCAAAUUUACAUGCACUUGAUAAUGGAGGUUCUGUAAAUAUCCCAAUGUUGAAGGAAGAGGGUAUGGAUAGUGCUAUGGAGCACUCAAGUAAUGGUAAAUUGGGUGAAGUAGCUGAGGGCGCAAAAGAAAUCCCAUCGGAAGAAGCUCAACUUCAUGAAGAACAGGGUCGAAGGUUGCAGAAGAAUGCUAGUGGCAUUCUGCAGCCUUCCAAUGUACAAAUACAAGCUGGCGGGGGUUCUCAAGCUGUAUCUACUCCAGCUCCAACUGUUCAAGUACAAGCUGGUGGCUCUACACAACCUUCACAUCCUGUAUCAAUACAUCAUGGACCUACUAUACUCCCCCAAGGGCCUGGUGCACCUCCGCAUCAUACACAGGGGCCUGGGCAGCCCUUGGCUCAUUUAAGACCUCAGGGACCUGCACAUGUACCUGGACAGCCUUUUCAUCCAUCUGAGCAUUUGCAGCCACCUGGUCCCAACCCGGGUUUUGGACCAUCCUCUGGAAGGGGAGGUCAGCAUGGUCCUCAAGGUGUACUACCUCCUUCCCAUACAGGGGCUCCCAAGAUGCAAGGUGAACCUGUUGGAGGCCCUCCAUUUAGUGGAAUGAUGGCACCAUAUGGCCCUGAAGGUCAUAGGAGUUACCAGCGGCCUGCCUUUCAGAUUGAUCAAGGAGCAAUUGGACAGCCAUCUGGUAUCCCCCCAAAUAUGUUGAGAAUGAAUGGAACUCCAGGCCUCGACUCCUCAUCAGUUCAUGGGUUGAGGGAUGAAAAGUUCAAGGCUUUUCCAGACGAACGAAUGAAUCCCUUCCCAGCAGAUCCAACUUAUCGUGGUUUUGACCGGGUAGCGUUUGAAGAUGAUCUCAAGCAAUUCCCUAGGCCUUCGUAUCUGGAUUCUGAUCCUGUUUCUAAAUUUGGGAAUUAUUCAUCAAGGCCCUUUGAUAAGGGACCUCAUGGGCUCAAGUAUGAUAUGGGUCUGAAUACAGAUCCUGCUGCUGGAGAUAUUGGGAGAAUGGAGCCUUCUCGCGGUCGUCCAGAUUUUGUUGGACGACGCCAUAUGGAUGUUUUGGCUCCCCGAAGCCCAGUUAGAGAUUACCCUGCGAUCCCAUCUCAUGGGUUUAGAGGCUUUGGCCCUGAUGAUUUUGAUAGAAGAGACUUUCAUCGAUUUGGUGAUCCACAUGGAAAUUCAUUCCAUGAGGGUAGGCUUUCUAAUUUUCCUGGUCAAUUUCGACGGGGUGAGUUUGAGGGGCCUGGUAAUAUGCGAAUUGUUGAUGGGCACCCUGGUCAUCUUCGGAGGGGAGAUCAUUUGGGUCAUCAGAAUGUGCAUAAUCAUUUGCAUUUGAGAGAAACUAUGGGUUUUGGUGAUCGUCAUCCACGGAUUGGAGACAUGACUGGACCUGGGAACUUUGAAUCAUUUAGAGGCAAGAGGACAAGCCAUCCACGUCUUGGUGAGCCUGGAUUUAGGAGCAGCUUUUCACUUCAGAGAUUUCCAACUGAUGGAGCUUACACAGGAGAUCUAGAGUCUUUUGAUCACUUAAGGAAAAGGAAACCAGCUAGUAUGGGAUGGUGCCGGAUAUGUAAAGUUGAUUGUGAAACAGUUGAAGGUUUAGACUUGCAUUCACAAACAAGGGAACACCAGAAGAUGGCUAUGGAUAUGGUGCGAACCAUCAAGCAAAAUGCCAAAAAGCAGAAACUAACCUCUGGUGAUCAGUCCUUGGUAGAGGAUGAAAAUAAGUAAAAAAAUCCAGCUUUAAAGCCCGGGGAGAAAAGCAGCAUUGAUGGAUGAUGUGUGCUGUAAUGUGGAUCUCUUUGGUUUCAUUUCACUUGGGGUCCAAUUGUUUCUUUGGUAUUAUUGCGUUAGCAAUAUAGGUGAUGCACCCUUCCAUGCCUCUUUUUUCUAGAUUCAGGGUGGUUUAUGCUAGUUUUGUCAUUUCAGGUUGCCGCCAUGUUAAUGGAGAUGGUAUAUGGAACUGGAGUUCAAUGGCAAUCUUUUCAAUUCAACCCGUCAUUUUUUGGCAAGAAGACUCCAUAUGGACUGAAAGUUUAGCAGAAAAAGGUUUACUCUGUCAUCUAUUUUUGAUGUGGUAAGGUUGUGUUCAAUGUACAGAUUUUAUUUAGUUGUGGCAAAAUUAGCUUCUUAGUGUUGAUUAUAUGACCUGCUUACAUGUCGGGUUUCAUCUGCUUCUACAUUUUUACGAAGAGUAUAUUUACAUCUUUUGAAGUGCUAGGAUAAAUCUUAGGAAACCUUAGGAGACAUGUAAUUUUGAUUACCUUCCAUCCACUAGGUAUAUAUAGAUACUAACUUUAAGGGGCCAUGGGGCUUACAUUUUAAGAUGUCUACUUGGAACGGGUUAGGGAUCAUGAUUUAUCUAGGACAGUUUGAUGGCUAGGGUUUUUUUUAUAUUAUCUCCGCCCAUGGUGGUCGUGGUUGUGGCCAUCGCCCUUGCCGCCCUCAACAUGGGUGGGCAGCACCCCAAGAACACCACAUCCUUAAUGCUUUGUCAUAUACGUUCUCUAACAAUAAAUUCAAUUCUGUUUGUAUGCUGACUUUUGAAUGAAUUUUGCAAUUACUCUCCUUCAACUAUAGCAAUCACUUCCUAUCAAUUUUCCAUAUGCAUAGAUUCGGGUUCAUGUUGAUGUUUUGAGGCAGCCUUGCCGGUUGAACUCUAAAUAUAUAUUUUUUAAUAUUUUGGUAGCAAUAUUUUUAUCUAUUUCAACAGCUGAUAAGUCUCUCUCUCUCUCUCACGCACACAAAACACAUCCUUUCACCAUCACCUACCACUGUAAUUUUCUUUAGAAAAGUUCGGGUGGUUGAGGAAGGGAAAAAACCGGUUUUCUUGUUUUCCAUCAGAGUUUAGGUGGUGACAAAUGCUAAGGGGACUCUCUCAAAAGUGGAUCUCUCUAUAAACUCUCUGUCACCUCAUGUUUUUAGCACAAUGUUUAAUAAUAUUGACACGGAAAUUGACGUUAAACGCUGAAGUGUCAGAGAGUUCCACUUUGAGAGAGAUCCCUUGGCAUUCCCCUUUUGUGGUUUAGGAAGGGAAGGAGUGGCGUUCUUUCGAUUGUGAAAGCAGUACACCAAAUCUUAGUUUUGUUGAACAGUGUUACCAUAAUUUCUAUGGAUAACUCUGGUGGACAUGAUUCAUGCCAUGAAAGUUCUUUAUAAGAUUGCAUCUAGUGAUAUCUGGCGUCUGCUAAAGCAUCCCUUGAGCAACCUAAAUAAUAAUACACAACCUGAGAAGUUUUCGUCGCUUAGAAAUUUAUCCUUGUUUUUAAACACUGUCCUUGCUAUAGAUGUUUUAGCCUUUUACAUGAACCCAAGGACUGAAAUAUUUGUAUUUGAUUGUUUUAGUGUGUUUUAAAUAUAAUCGCGUUUGAACUAAUACUAGUCUCAGAAAUACGCAUCUUUGUUCAAUUACGAAGGAACAAGAAUAACGCAGGGUUCCAGUCCGAA